GCCCUGCUAGCGCAAUGGUAGCGCGUUGGACUUCUAAUCCAAAGGCUGCGGGUUCGAGUCCCGCGUGGGGUA
rnacentral:tRNA from 1 species